AAACUCAAAUGAAUUGACGGGGGCCCGCACAAGCAGCGGAGCAUGUGGUUUAAUUCGAAGCAACGCGAAGAACCUUACCAAGGCUUGACAUCCACUUAAACGCAUGGAAACAUGCGGUCUCUUCGGAGGAAGUGAGACAGGUGGUGCAUGGUUGUCGUCAGCUCGUGUCGUGAGAUGUUGGGUUAAGUCCCGCAACGAGCGCAACCCUUAUUGCCAGUUACCAGCGAGUUAUGUCGGGGACUCUGGUGAGACUGCCGGGGACAACUCGGAGGAAGGUGGGGAUGACGUCAAAUCAUCAUGCCCCUUAUGUCUUGGGCUACACACGUGCUACAAUGGCUGAAACAAAGGGAUGCGACAACGUAAGUUGAAGCGGAUCUCACAAAACAGUCCCAGUUCGGAUUGUGGGCUGCAACCCGCCCACAUGAAGUCGGAGUUGCUAGUAAUCGCGGAUCAGCAUGCCGCGGUGAAUACGUUCCCGGGCCUUGUACACACCGCCCGUCACACCCAUCGGG
rnacentral:rRNA from 1 species